AGUGAAGAGUAUGCCUCCAAAAUUACUUAUGAUUAUAAGUUAUCUAUUUGGUCCAUAUUUCGGACCAACGUCUUCAUAAACAUAUAACUACACCAGGGACAGAUUUAUAAUAUUUGAAAAAUAAGGAGAAAUGUCAGCUUUAAAAAUUCUUCUUGUUGUUGGAUUGUUGCAUGGAGAAAGGGGUUUCUGUUUGAAUUUGACGAACCAUGAAAAUGAUAUUGGACACCUGAAGCAACUUAUCCAACAGCUUAAUGUUAGUCUUCAACACACUGUGAAUUAUGAAAUUGAUUAGCUGAAAAGGGAAACCAGUCUGCUGAAAACAAAAAUCAAUGCACAAAGUCUCAUAGCUUUCACGGCAAGACUAUCGCACGAUGUAGAAUUGCUGGGUGAACAGACAGUUGUGUUCGAUAAGAUAAUACUGAAUCUUGGAAACGCUUACCAUGAAAGUUAUGGACAUUUCACAGCUCCGGUAAGAGGUGUUUACCAGUUUGCUGUAUCGCUGUUAAACGAUGGAAAAGAAUCUUAUUUUGCUUUGAUGAGAAACGGAAACCAGCUGUUGUCAAUGCUUUAUAUAAGAAGUGGUACCUUCUAUUCUUCAUCGUCCAUUGUUAUCGUGCAAUUAGAAGCCGCUGAUGUUGUCUUUGUCAAGGCUACUACAACUGCAAACUUAGACGAGUCAUAUUACUGUAUUUUUAGUGGAUUUCUGAUUCAAUAACUAAAAAUAAAAUUCCAAGAAGUCUCAA